rnacentral:pre_miRNA from 1 species
GCGUGGAAGAGGAACAAAAGAGGGCCUAAGAGCAGUGGGAAUGGGAACAUGGAGGAAGGCCUAAAUUUCAUUUUUGAGUCUUCCUGAUGCCUCCCAUUCCUAUCGUUCUUAGGUGCUCAUUCCUCUUCCUUCUGGCA